rnacentral:misc_RNA from 1 species
UUUCCGUAGGUGAACCUGCGGAAGGAUCAUUAUUGUAUAACCGAGAUGCGAGGGCUGUCGCUGACCCGAAAGGUCGUGCACGCCCGAGUGCCCUCACACACAUCCAUCUCACCCCUAUGUGCACCACCGCGUGGGUCCCCCUUUGGCUUGUUCGGAGGGGGGCUUACGUUUUCACACAAACUUUGUAUGCAGUGUAGAAUGUAUUUUUUGUUUUUGUGAUCACGCAAUCAAUACAACUUUCAACAACGGAUCUCUUGGCUCUC